ACUACUGGAACGGUGGCUAAUACCGGAUGUGCCGAAAGGUGAAAGGCUUGCUGCCUGAAGAUGAGCUCGCGUCUGAUUAGCUAGUUGGUGUGGUAAGAGCGCACCAAGGCGACGAUCAGUAGCUGGUCUGAGAGGAUGAUCAGCCACACUGGGACUGAGACACGGCCCAGACUCCUACGGGAGGCAGCAGUGGGGAAUUUUCCGCAAUGGGCGAAAGCCUGACGGAGCAAUACCGCGUGAGGGAGGAAGGCUCUUGGGUUGUAAACCUCUUUUCUCAAGGAAUAAGUUCUGAAGGUACUUGAGGAAUAAGCAUCGGCUAACUCCGUGCCAGCAGCCGCGGUAAUACGGAGGAUGCAAGCGUUAUCCGGAAUGAUUGGGCGUAAAGCGUCCGCAGGUGGCUGUGUAAGUCUGCUGUUAAAGAGUCUAGCUUAACUAGAUAAAAGCAGUGGAAACUACAUAGCUAGAGUACGUUCGGGGUAGAGGGAAUUCCUGGUGUAGCGGUGAAAUGCGUAGAGAUCAGGAAGAACACCGGUGGCGAAGGCGCUCUACUAGGCCGUAACUGACACUGAGGGACGAAAGCUAGGGGAGCGAANNNNAUUANAUACCCCAGUAUUCCUAGC
rnacentral:rRNA from 1 species